rnacentral:lncRNA from 1 species
CAUCCCUUCAUUCCUCACCGCUUGUGCUCAUCCAGUCCUAUGAGAGAUGACUCCCACCCACACUGCCCUGAGCAGUGGAUAGCCUACACAGGGAGCUGCUACACCUUCUCCAAAGAGAGGAUGGAUUAGAGUUCCAGCCAAGAAUCCUGCUGGGCACAGGGUGCUCAUCUCCUGGUGAUCAGUGAUACCAGGGAAAUGGUAAUGGUUUACAGUCUUAUUAUUUGAGGACCUUCCAUUUCCUUGCAAAUAGCAAGGCAUCUGGGCAGUGCUGUCACUCUGGCAAUAUUGUGACAUUAAAACGGAGGAAGGAUUUAUGACUGUGACAUUAUAGUGCACUUCCAGUCUCAGUGUACAUCUAAGAAGUCCAGGAGGCAAAGAAGUAG